GUCGGUGUUGAUUGCGGUGAGGGUCCACCCGUUCCCAUUCCGAACACGGAAGUUAAGCUCACCUGCGCCGAAAAUACUUGUCUGGAGACGGACCGGGAAGAUAGGUAAUGCCGACA
rnacentral:rRNA from 2 species